GGACUACCAGGGUUUCUAAUCCUGUUUGCUCCCCGAGCUUUCGAACCUCAGCGUCAGGAAUGCCCCAGAAAGUCGCUUUCGCCACUGGUGUUCCUCCGAAUAUCUACGCAUUUCACCGCUACACUCGGAAUUCCACUUUCCUCUGACAUCCUCCAGCCUGCCAGUUUUCGAUCCAGUCCCGGGGUUGAGCCCCGGUCUUUAAGACCAAACUUAACAAGCCGCCUACGUUCUCUUUACGCCCAAUAAUUCCGGACAACGCUUGCAUCCUACGUAUUACCGCGGCUGCUGGCAC
rnacentral:rRNA from 1 species